rnacentral:rRNA from 1 species
GAUGAACGCUGGCGGCGUGCCUAAUACAUGCAAGUCGAGCGAACGGGCGAUACGCGUGCUUCUCUGGUGUUAGCGGCGGACGGGUGAGUAACACGUGGUUUACCUACCUCUAAGACUGGGAUAACUUCGGGAAGCCGUAGCUCAUGCCGGGUAACAUUUUGAACGGCAUGGUUGAAAAGUGAAAUACGUUCUUGCUGUCACUUAGAGAUGGAUCCGCGCUGCAUUAGCUAGGUGGUAAGGUAACGGCUUACCAAGGCAACGAUGCCUAGCCGACCGGAGAGGGUGUACGGGCCCUCUGGAACUGGGCCACGGUCCAGGCUCCUACGGGCGGCCGCAGCUGCGACUCUUCCGAGCUGUGCGGAAGCCUGCAGGAGCAGCGCCACGUUGGUGCUGCAGCUCCUCGGGUCGUAUAACUCCGUUAUUAUUGAAGACCCUAUGUGUAAGUAACUGUGCACAUCUUGACGGUACCUAAUCAGAAAGCCCCGGCUAACUACGUG